AAGUUGUCGGCUCAGGACGAACGCUGGCGGCGUGCCUAAUACAUGCAAGUCGAACGAGAAUUUCUUACACCGAGUGCUUGCACUCACCGUAAGAAAUUUGAGUGGCGGACGGGUGAGUAACACGUGGGUAACCUGCCCAAAAGAAGGGGAUAACAUUUGGAAACAAAUGCUAAUACCGUAUAACCAUGAUGACCGCAUGGUCAUUAUGUAAAAGGUGGUUUUGCUAUCGCUUUUGGAUGGACCCGCGGCGUAUUAACUAGUUGGUAGGGUAACGGCCUACCAAGGUGAUGAUACGUAGCCGAGUUGAGAGACUGAUCGGCCACAAUGGGACUGAGACACGGCCCAUACUCCUACGGGAGGCAGCAGUAGGGAAUCUUCCACAAUGGGCGCAAGCCUGAUGGAGCAACGCCGCGUGAAUGAAGAAGGUCUUCGGAUCGUAAAAUUCUGUUGUUAGAGAAGAAUAUGAGUAAUAGUAACUGAUUAUUCACUGACGGUAUCUAACCAGCAAGUCACGGCUAACUACGUGCCAGCAGCCGCGGUAAUACGUAGGUGGCAAGCGUUGUCCGGAUUUAUUGGGCGUAAAGGGAACGCAGGCGGUUUUUUAAGUCUGAUGUGAAAGCCUUCGGCUUAACCGGAGAUGUGCAUUGGAAACUGGAAGACUUGAGUGCAGAAGAGGAGAGUGGAACUCCAUGUGUAGCGGUGAAAUGCGUAGAUAUAUGGAAGAACACCAGUGGCGAAAGCGGCUCUCUGGUCUGUAACUGACGCUGAGGUUCGAAAGCAUGGGUAGCGAACAGGAUUAGAUACCCUGGUAGUCC
rnacentral:rRNA from 1 species